CGUGUUCUUUAUAGUAAAGUAGUUUCAAGGGGGCACUAAGUGAGUUCAUUUUUUGUUUUAAAGUUCAGUAAUUUAUUUGCUUUUUUACAGAAAGAGGAAGAACGUUUGAGGGCUUCUACUCACCAGAAGACCAUCCAUGUGCGGGAAAAGCAGAACCAGCGGGGACCGAGUGCCCCCUACCAGAGCCCCAGCAGUGGUAAGGAGGGUGAAGCCAGCAAGAACCAUGGCCGAGGAGGUGAACCCUCCAGAAAGAGGAAAGCAGGCGGAGAAGAAGAAGAGGAUGACUGAAGCAUGAAACGCGUGCUUGCUUAUACCAUGGACUCCCCUUUUUAAAUGAAGAAUAUAAGAUGCUGUCAAUGGAAAAACAAUAUACAAAGCUCUAUACAUGUAACUUUUCCAGAGGACACCUACUGUACAAAGCAAGUAUGUGGAUUAUUUCAUUCAAAUAACAAGAAUCUGCAAUUUAACAGUCAAGAUAUAUUUCCUUAAAAUCUGUAACAAUCUGAUUCUUUAAACACGAAAUGUUUAUUUGGUCUUUUAAACGACAGGCACCGCACCCUUAGAAAAUGUAUUUCACCUAUGAAUUAGACUUCUACUAGGCUUUAGCUCCAAGUAUACAGCACCAAAAUCCAUUUUAAUAAUAUCAAUAUUAUUAAUAUUGAUUUUUUAAUACAUACAAUUUCAUGCAAACUGGAAGAAUCAGAACUUCCAAUAUGAAUAUAAAAUUUUAUAAAAUGGGAAAUUAAAAGCUUUUUAAAAAACAGCAAUUUAAAAAUGCAAAGAAUAGUCUUUGCUUAGAUAACCAGAUAAGUUUACAUUGGUUACACUACAAAAACUUAAAGUCUUAGAAAAUCUUUGGUUUAAAAAUCAAGAGUAUUUCACAACUCCAAUUUGUUAUAAAAAAUUUUAGAGAAAUACAGAAAUACUGAAAGUUACUAAAAGGGUAAGAGGUGCCAGAUUUUUAAAGAUCAAAGCAAACAUCAGUUUUCUCCCUUGUAAUUACAAUUCUUGAAAGAUUUUCUGCAUUUAAUCAGAUGAAUGUUCACCCUUAUUUAUUAAGAAAUCUUUUCUUCAAUUAUAUAAUGAACUAUUGUAGCUCAGAACUGGAAUGGUACAAGGAAAACACUCAACUUCUUCACACUUUGAUAAAUAAUAAGUGGAAAAGAUAUUACCCCAAGUAUAACACACAAUUUUAGGUGGGGCCUACCUACCUAUAUUUAAAAAAAAAACUUCGGGGAGGAAAGGGUAACAUACUUAGCAAUUUACCGACUGACUUAAAGGGCAGGGCAAGCAAGGAAGCCUUGCUAAAAGUGUACUGGUAGCUCUGUACAGCUGCUCCAUGCUGACUCCCCACCCUGCUGGAACUGUGCAGUCUCUAAAACCAAGUGCAUUUCCAAAAUCAUUUAUGAAAGGAGAGAGGGAGAGAGCGAGCGAGGGUGAGCUUGACUUGCUAACUUGGAAAAACCUCCAGCACCCUAUAACUGAAAGGGAAUAGCAGUACGGUGCAAAGCCAAUCUUUGGCCCCUUUCAAACAAUGGAUACUGAUUCCAAAAAAACACACACUCAGUCCUCAUGAGGAAAGCUUUUGCCUGUUAAGAAGGCUUAUUACUGUAGCAUGCAAGGAGCUGCCUAGCUCAUUAAACUGUCCAACCCAAGACAGAGGAGCAGACAUUUUAUAAUUCAAUUUCAAGAAGUUUAAAAAAAUUAACAAUAGACCUCUCCCCUAUUCUGGAAGAUUGUUCCUUUAGAAAAAUCUCCCUGUAAGUGAUACACCCAGGCCUGAACCGUCGAGGCCAGGACUGCUCAGACUCCUUUGCCCCUGUCGUCUGCAGCUGUAACGCCUCUGCCAUCUCCUGCUCUGGGGCUGCCCUGAAAUAGGACAUGAAUGCAGGCCCAAACUGUCUAUCAUACUAUUGGAUGUGGAAUAGUCUUCCCACCACAGAACCACCAUUUAACUGUUCACCUUAAUACUUUGAAUGAUAGGAAGACAGCUUGUGUUAUGAGAAAUUGCUUUUAUACAAUGUAGACCAAAAAGUACAAGAUGAAAGGAAACAGAUAGAUUUAUCAAGAACAGCCAUUUUCCUUAUUGGUUGGGAAAAAUCUGUAGUGAGUGGUGAUUGUAUACCAUUCAGACAACUCUGUGUUGCAUAUAGGAACGUCUCACUAUCCUGUGCAGCUCUUAAUUUAUACCCAGGCCAGUUUCUCAUUUACCAUCAGUAACCAACAAUUUAAAGGACCGUUUUGCAUGCUCCUCAGACUUAACCUCCACCAUUUAUUAACUUUGAUUUCAUGUGUUUAACAACAGCUUUCUUUUUUCUUUUACCCUAAAUAACUGAGAGUUGGCUGUAUGCCUUUUACAGGGAAGAAAAAAUAGCUUUCCUACUCAGAUGUUUUUUUUUUUUAGUAUGAGCCUUCACAAAAAUUUAAUAAUGCCCACAUUAUUACAGUGAAAAAACGGUAAUUAGUUUGGCCCUAACUGUACUUUUAAACAAAGUGUGUAACCUGGCCAAGCUGAUGACUUUGUUGAAAAACACUGUAGGUGUUGCUGAGACACCGUGGACACGUACAGUGCUGUGGAAUGUACAGGAGACUGCUUUCUCUCUCCUAGAGAUCUGCUGUGACUCCAAAACAGAUGACCAGGUUUUGAGUCAUCUGUUUUAAAGUGCUGGCAUUUCGCUUUCUUGAUAGAAGCAAAAACCAUACUCUUGCCAAGUUCAUGUGUUCUGAAACUUGGAAAAGUCUCCUUGCCAUGGAAUAAGGAAAGCUUUGAAGUUCCUUGUACCUAAGAGGUGCAGCAACAAUUCUGACAUCAGCAAUGUCCCUUUUUGACUUAAAAAAAGAUUGGUCCUUAGAAUGUUCAUAUUAUUCUACAUAGAUGACUUCCUAAACUUUUUUAUAAUUGUAUUUUUUUAACCCAACUCAUCAUAAACCAUUUAAUUAAGCUAAAUUAAAAUUGAUUUUAGCAGAAAGUAGAAAUAAUGCUUUAGAAUACAAAAUACCACCUACUAGUGAUUUACAGUUUGAAACUGGUAACAACUUAAACUAGAUAAAAGAUACAUGUAGUUAAAAUAAAA